UAGGUUUUUUGGUACGGUAUUAAGUUAUUUAUCUACUUAAUCCACAUUAUUCGUUAUUUUAUUUGAAAUUGAUGUUCUAAUAAAUUUUAUUUGGUAGUUACAAAUGUGAUAAUUAAUUUAGCAUUGUGUUAAUUAUGAAGUCCAUUGAUGUUGUUAGGAUGAUUGAGAAAGAUUGGGUGCGUGUUAACAGAGUGUAGGUACUAAUUUACCCAAAAUGACCAACAAGUGUAAGCUACUAGAUUGGUUUGGAACCGGGGAAGUUGUUGCUGAAGGGCGUUUGAUGCCAAGCGACCCGAAAGACCUCGUUCACCAUGUACCUCUUGGACCAAAUGCAGUUAGAGUGUGGGUGGAUGUAGCAAAAAAAUCGGAUGCUUUCUUGUGGAGGCCAAUGAGUGAGAUGAGUACCAUUGAAGAAGCGAUUUCAAGUAAUGUGGCAUGGCUUGCUGAUAAAAAUUUAAAAGGGCAAUGAAGACUCAUGCUUCCUGCAACUAUCUACACAACAAUACAUGAUUGGUUGGAGGAUCUCAGCCCCCAUCAGGUGAUCCGACUAGGCUACCGUCACAUUAUGAAAUGAUUAUCAAAUCAUGGAUGAGGCUCAAAAAUGUUAUCAGGAUUGGAAGAAGGACCUCCACAUACGCUUCAACAAUCAUGGUGGACAACAGUUGGACAUUCAGUCAGCAGACGAACUAAAUGUUACUGGGAUUAGAAGAAAGACCUCCACAUACACUUCAAAAAGCCAUAGUGGAGUGAGCCACCUAGAGCUUGCUAGGUCCAGGGUCCUUAACACCACUAAAGACCCUGAACAUUGGCCUUUAUACUAAGAAAUCGGCAACCAAUUCAUCAUAUAGCAAAAAGAUGAAGUGGCCUGACUUUUGAGAGCAUUCAUCUUAUCACAGCAUCAACAUAGAAAGACGCGUCAGGCUUAGUUAAUCGACAACUGCCGUGAUGAGCAUUUUUGACAAGGGUUCGACCAACGACGUCAAGGAAGCUGUACAUAUGCGGAUCAGCUCUAUUGAUAGAGGUAUUAUGCACUGCUCGUUAGUUAAAUAUGGUUGUUGUAUUUAUCUACCACGCAUGAGUUCAUGGCAAAGAUUAUUUGAUACUUUGGUACACCAUGGAAUCUGUAUGUAUUAUACCCUUCACAGUUGUAUGUGAAGAUAUCUGU